rnacentral:pre_miRNA from 1 species
GGGGGGAGUGCCCGGAUCUGGGCUGUGUCCCCCAGUGCCCUGGGCUCCCGGGCCUGCACCGCUGGAAUCGUGCUCCCGGUGCGCACAGCCCCCU